rnacentral:rRNA from 1 species
UACAGAGGUCUCAAGCGUUGUUCGGAUUCAUUGGGCGUAAAGGGUGUGUAGGUGGCGCCGUAAGUGGGGUGUGAAAUCUCGGGGCUUAACUCCGAAACUGCAUACCAUACUGCGGUGCUUGAGGACUGGAGAGGAGACUGGAAUUCAUGGUGUAGCAGUGAAAUGCGUAGAGAUCAUGAGGAAGACCAGUGGCGAAGGCGGGUCUCUGGACAGUUCCUGACACUGAGACACGAAGGCCAGGGGAGCAAACGGG